rnacentral:misc_RNA from 1 species
CGAGAUGCUAGGCGGAUCACGAGAAUAAGCUCUUGUCAUGUGUGUGUCGGGCGCUAAUGGCAUCACAUGGCGUCCUCCCGAGUGGGGACUUCGAUCGUGGCAAUGUUUUUCCUCGGGUUUUUUCCCGAAAUUAAAAAAAAUAAAAAAUUUAAUUUUUUGCCACGAUCGGGGAAACUGCGACAUGGUGCCUGGGCGUUCGGGAUUGUUCUUCGGUGAGUGUCGAUGAUGUGGUGGUGUGGGCCUAGCAAAACCACAGAGGCACGGGUCUCUUGAUUUCGUUUGAAGCAUUAUGCAGGUCAGCAUUGCUCGUGAAAUGCAGCGACUAGGUGCRGCAUGGGAAAAGCAAUGCAUGACAUGCAUUCUACGUCGGACGUGGUGAAGAGGCGRUUAUAAGGCAUGUCCCYUGUCGAUGAAUCGUGCCCGGGAUGUGGUGUUGUCGGCCUCGCAACACCAUUGAGGCGCAGGCUGGCUGAUUCGUGGCCUAGGUAAGAUGAGACGUUGCCUUUUGCUAGCAACAGGUCGUGCCUAGGACGURGUGAUGCGGGCGACUUGAGGCGUGUCCCUUCYCGUUGCUUUGUUACUUGUUCGCGCAUCGGGCGGUGCAUUCUUGGGGCUGUUUUGGGCUUUGGUUUCUUGYUUGGCCUUUGUGUCGGGCGGGGGGCUAUUGUUUGGAUGGUUUCAUGGAAUGUCGAUCGUAAAGGUGCAUGAGUGGUGUUUGGUUUGUUACGGGUGGUUGGAUGUCUGCUUGUGCAGCAACGUCCACGCGUGCAUGCCUCUUCAGUUGUGUUGCAAGGCCCGAUCGCCUUGUGCAUUAUGCGGGUUUUCUGUGCUGCAUACCUAAUCGAUGGCAUCRUAUGGAUSGACGAAGCACCUUUUCGUUGUGCGUUGCUCGCUCGACGCGUGACGGACCCUGAGGCGGUCUUUGUUGUCCAUCUCGUGGAUGCAUUCGCAUCGAUGACCUGGCCGACGGAGAAACGCUUGGUCUCUCGGAUACGAAACCUGAUGUGGGCAAGGGGUCURUCACGACCCGCAUCUGCCCUCGUUUAGCGUUCWCGCUUCUCUGAAACGACAGCUCGUGGUGUUUCGGCUCGUCCGUGCUCCAUGGGCU